AUUUUAAAAUUUUAUAAAUAUUGAUUUAAAUACAUCCACCAUAUAACUCAAUUCCAAAAUAAAACACGUUCUGUAGUUUCUUUACCCGUCCCAUGAUUUUUUUAAGUAGUAAUUUUUAAAAUUUAAGAAUUAUUUUUUAUAUAUAAAAGUUUUGCAAAUUGUAUCAUUCUCUAAUACAUUUAUAUUUUAUAGUU
rnacentral:sRNA from 1 species